GCUCACUUCAGUAGAACAUAUACUAAAAUUAGAAUGAUACAAAAAAGAUUAGCAUGGCCCCUGCACAAGAAUGACACACAAAUUCAUGAAGACAUCCACAUUUUU